UGUCAACACACCUUAAGAUUUUACAAUAAAUCUGUUAAAGUUGUCACCUUUAACUCUACUGUAUCAGUUUGAUAAUUUAAGGACUUACGACAUAAAACUGAGCUAUUUAAUCAUUAGCUUAGCUGAUGUAUUUAAAAAUGAGAAAGCAGAUUAUCUUACUGUUUUUGAGUGUAGGUGUGCUGUUUACUGAUGCUUAUUAUCCGUGUGCGACAGUAAGAUGUGGUAGGGAUGAAAAUGGCAGAAUAACUCAAUGUCGUUUGCAAGAAGUUAUCUGUAAACGGGAACCAUGUUAUCCUCAAGCUGUUUGUGUUGCUGAUGUUCCUGCAACUGAAGGUGCCUGUGAUAUCGGCUUGCCAGUUAUCGACGAUGACAACCAAGAGUUAUACUGCGGACGUGGAUCAAGUGGUAGCUGUCCUGCUGGCACUCAAUGUGUUAUUGAGGCUGGUGAUAGGUAUGCAGUUUGUUGUUAUAAUGAAUAAUGGCAACAUUUACCAUGUGAUACUGGAAUAAAGCACAAACACAAACAU